rnacentral:rRNA from 1 species
CGCGUGGAUAAUCUUUCCAUCAGUUUGGAAUAACUCAUCGAAAGGUNGGNUAAUACCGAAUAACACUGCGAAACUAUGGUUGAGCAGUCAAAGAGCGCCUCUGCUUGCAAGCGCUCGCUGAAGGAUGAGUCCGCGUACCAUUAGCUAGUUGGUAGGGUAAUGGCCUACCAAGGCGACGAUGGUUAGCUGGUCUGAGAGGAUGAUCAGCCACACUGGAACUGAGACACGGUCCAGACUCCUACGGGAGGCAGCAGUGAGGAAUCUUGCGCAAUGGGGGCAACCCUGACGCAGCAACGCCGCGUGAGUGAGGAAGGUCUUCGGAUCGUAAAGCUCUGUCAGUUGGGAAGAAACACAUGGGGGUGAAUAUCUCCCAUGCUUGACGGUACCAACAGAGGAAGCACCGGCUAAUCCGUGCCAGCCGCGC